AUUCUUAAUUGGUGGUGAAGAGGGGACGUAUCCAAAGAAAAUGAAAUUAUUCUCUAACAGAGAAGAUAUAGAUUUUGAAAAUGUUAACGAUUUUAAAUGUAUUCAAGAACUAGAAAUAGCACAGGAUUAUCAUGGAUCAAUUGAGUAUCCAUUAAAGGUAUUUGUUUUAUUUUUUUUGGAUAUCUACACAUCGAUAACAUUUAUGAUAGCUAGCUACGUUCGUUAGUUACAUUCGAUAGUUAUAUUGACUAGCUACAUUCGAUAUUUAUAUUGGCUAGCUACAUUUUUGUUAUAUAUAUAUUUUUUUCCCCUUUAGGUAACGUCCCUAUUCAAUGUAAGUUACCUGACUCUUUAUUUUUAUGAGAAUUAUGGAGCAGAAACAACAAAAAUAUUUUAUAUAGGUAUUUAUAUAUAUAUAUAAAUUAUGAGGACUAUGCUGCACUUGUGUUUUUUGUUUUUAAAGUUACACUACUAUUAAUACUUGUACAUAUGUAUG
rnacentral:lncRNA from 1 species